AUUGAACGCUGGCGGCAGGCUUAACACAUGCAAGUCGAACGGUAACAGAAGAAAAGCUUGCUUUUCUUGCUGACGAGUGGCGGACGGGUGAGUAAUGCUUGGGAAUCUGCCUUAUGGAGGGGGAUAACUACGGGAAACUGUAGCUAAUACCGCGUAAUGUCUUCGGAUUAAAGUGUGGGACCUUCGGGCCACAUGCCAUAAGAUGAGCCCAAGUGAGAUUAGGUAGUUGGUGAGGUAAAGGCUCACCAAGCUGACGAUCUCUAGCUGGUUUGAGAGGAUGACCAGCCACACUGGAACUGAGACACGGUCCAGACUCCUACGGGAGGCAGCAGUGGGGAAUAUUGCACAAUGGGCGCAAGCCUGAUGCAGCCAUGCCGCGUGAAUGAAGAAGGCUUUCGGGUUGUAAAGUUCUUUCAGCGAUGAGGAAGGUGCAUUAUCUAAUAGGUGAUGUAAUUGACGUUAGUCGCAGAAGAAGCACCGGCUAACUCCGUGCCAGCAGCCGCGGUAAUACGGAGGGUGCGAGCGUUAAUCGGAAUAACUGGGCGUAAAGGGCACGCAGGCGGUUGUCUAAGUCAGAUGUGAAAGCCCCGAGCUUAACUUGGGAAUUGCAUUUGAGACUGGGCGACUAGAGUCCUCUAGGGAGGGGUAGAAUUCCACGUGUAGCGGUGAAAUGCGUAGAGAUGUGGAGGAAUACCGAAGGCGAAGGCAGCCCCUUGGAGAGAGACUGACGCUGAGGUGCGAAAGCGUGGGUAGCAAACAGG
rnacentral:rRNA from 1 species